rnacentral:rRNA from 1 species
GACGAACGCUGGCGGCGUGCCUAAUACAUGCAAGUCGAACGCUGAAGGAGGAGCUUGCUCUUCUGGAUGAGUUGCGAACGGGUGAGUAACGCGUAGGUAACCUGCCUGGUAGCGGGGGAUAACUAUUGGAAACGAUAGCUAAUACCGCAUAAGAGUAGAUGUUGCAUGACAUUUACUUAAAAGGUGCAAUUGCAUCACUACCAGAUGGACCUGCGUUGUAUUUGCUAGUUGGUGGGGUAACGGCUUACCAAGGCGACGAUACAUAGCCGACCUGAGAGGGUGAUCGGCCACACUGGGACUGAGACACGGCCCAGACUCCUACGGGAGGCAGCAGUAGGGAAUCUUCGGCAAUGGACGGAAGUCUGACCGAGCAACGCCGCGUGAGUGAAGAAGGUUUUCGGAUCGUAAAGCUCUGUUGUAAGAGAAGAACGAGUGUGAGAGUGGAAAGUUCACACUGUGACGGUAUCUUACCAGAAAGGGACGGCUAACUACGUG